rnacentral:rRNA from 1 species
GACGAACGCUGGCGGCGUGCUUAACACAUGCAAGUCGAACGGAAAGGCCCCUUUGUUGUUCCUCGAGUGUGGGACGCGUGCGUAAGACUUGAGUAACCUGCCCUUGACUUCGGGAGAACGUCAGCAAACUGGGGCGAAUACUGGUUAGGAAUCCUUGCUUCAUGCAGGGGGUUGGAGAGCUUGGGCGGUUUUGGAUUGACUCACGGCUUAUCACGUGGUUUGUGGGGUAGUUGCUUACGAAGGCGUUGACGGGUGGCCUGCAUGAGAGCGGGACCGGCCACCAUAGGACUGCGGUACGGACCAGAAUCCUACGGGAGGCAGCAGUGGGGAGUAUUGCACAAUGAGCGGAAGCCUGAUGCGGAAGCGCCGGGUGCGGGAUGACCGCCUUCGGGUUGUAAACCGCGUUCAGCAGGGGCGACGCAUGUAGUGACGGUACCUGCAGAAGAAGCACCGGCUAACUACGUG